UACGGAGGGUGCAAGCGUUGUCCGGAAUCACUGGGCGUAAAGGGCGCGUAGGCGGCUCAUGAAGGCUGUGGUGAAAGUCCGGGGCUCAACCUCGGAUCGGCCGUGGCGACUCGUGGGCUGGAGCACUGUAGAGGCGGGUGGAAUUCCGGGUGUAGCGGUGGAAUGCGUAGAGAUCCGGAAGAACACCAGUGGCGAAGGCGGCCCGCUGGGCAGUGGCUGACGCUGAGGCGCGACAGCGUGGGGAGCAAACCGG
rnacentral:rRNA from 1 species